GAACUGGUGAGUAACACGUGGGUAACCUGCCCCGAAGCGGGGGAUAACAUUUGGAAACAAGUGCUAAUACCGCAUAAUUAGUUGGAACCGCAUGGUUCCAACUUGAAAGAUGGCUCUGCUAUCACUUUGGGAUGGACCCGCGCCGUAUUAGUUAGUUGGUGAGAUAAAAGCCCACCAAGACGAUGAUACGUAGCCGACCUGAGAGGGUAAUCGGCCACAUUGGGACUGAGACACGGCCCAGACUCCUACGGGAGGCAGCAGUAGGGAAUCUUCCACAAUGGACGAAAGUCUGAUGGAGCAACGCCGCGUGAGUGAUGAAGGUUUUCGGAUCGUAAAACUCUGUUGUUAAAGAAGAACAAGUGUUAGAGUAACUGUUAACACUUUGACGGUAUUUAACCAGAAAGCCACGGCUAACUACGUGCCAGCAGCCGCGGUAAUACGUAGGUGGCAAGCGUUGUCCGGAUUUAUUGGGCGUAAAGCGAGCGCAGGCGGUUUUGUAAGUCUGCUGUGAAAGCCCUCAGCUCAACUGAGGAAGUGCAGUGGAAACUACAAAACUUGAGUACAGAAGAGGAAAGUGGAACUCCAUGUGUAGCGGUGAAAUGCGUAGAUAUAUGGAAGAACACCAGUGGCGAAGGCGGCUUUCUGGUCUGUUACUGACGCUGAGGCUCGAAAGCAUGGGUAGCGAACAGGAUUAGAUACCCUGGUAGUCCAUGCCGUAAACGAUGAAUACUAGGUGUUGGAGGGUUUCCGCCCUUCAGUGCCGCAGCUAACGCAUUAAGUAUUCCGCCUGGGGAGUACGACCGCAAGGUUGAAACUCAAAGGAAUUGACGGGGGCCCGCACAAGUGGUGGAGCAUGUGGUUUAAUUCGAUGCUACGCGAAGAACCUUACCAGCUCUUGACAUCUUCUGCCAACCCAAGAGAUUGGGCGUUCCCUUCGGGGACAGAAUGACAGGUGGUGCAUGGUUGUCGUCAGCUCGUGUCGUGAGAUGUUGGGUUAAGUCCCGCAACGAGCGCAACCCUUAUUAUUAGUUGCCAGCAUUUAGUUGGGCACUCUAGUGAGACUGCCGGUGAUAAACCGGAGGAAGGUGGGGACGACGUCAAAUCAUCAUGCCCCUUAUGAGCUGGGCUACACACGUGCUACAAUGGAUGGUACAACGAGUCGCGAAACCGCGAGGUCAAGCUAAUCUCUUAAAGCCAUUCUCAGUUCGGAUUGCAGGCUGCAACUCGCCUGCAUGAAGUUGGAAUCACUAGUAAUCGUGGAUCAGCAUGCCACGGUGAAUACGUUCCCGGGCCUUGUACACACCGCCCGUCACACCAUGAGAGUUUGUA
rnacentral:rRNA from 2 species